rnacentral:rRNA from 1 species
CAGCAGCCGCGGUAAUACGAAGGGGGCUAGCGUUGUUCGGAUUUACUGGGCGUAAAGCGCACGUAGGCGGACUUUUAAGUCAGGGGUGAAAUCCCGGGGCUCAACCCCGGAACUGCCUUUGAUACUGGGAGUCUUGAGUUCGAGAGAGGUGAGUGGAAUUGCGAGUGUAGAGGUGAAAUUCGUAGAUAUUCGCAGGAACACCAGUGGCGAAGGCGGCUCACUGGCUCGAUACUGACGCUGAGGUGCGAAAGCGUGGGGAGCAAACAGGAUUAGAUACCCCCGUAGUCCCUGUCUCUUAUAC